GUCCACGCUGUAAACGAUGAGAACUGGAUGUUGGGAGACUUGAUCUCUUGGUAUCGAAGCUAACGCGAUAAGUUCUCCGCCUGGGGAGUACGGCCGCAAGGUUAAACUCAAAGGAAUUGACGGGGGCCCGCACAAGCGGUGGAGCAUGUGGUUUAAUUCUAUGCAACGCGAAGAACCUUACCUACCCUUGACAUCCAUGGAAUCCUGCAGAGAUGCGGGAGUGCCGAAAGGAACCGUGAGACAGGUGCUGCAUGGCUGUCGU
rnacentral:rRNA from 1 species